GCAUGUGGCUUAAUUUGACUCAACGCGGGAAAUCUUACCAGGUCCGGACACACUGAGGAUUGACAGGAAGUAUCGUCUUUUGAAUUCUUUAAGGAUAUGUCGUUUUUAAUGACAUCUUUUAGAUGGAUGAUUCGUGUAAAUAUGCUAGUUCUUUCAUGAUUAUGUGAUAGGUGGUGCAUGGCCGUUCUUAGUUCGUGGAGUGAUCUGUCUGCUUAAUUGCGUUUCACUAAGGCCCCAAAGUUAGCAAAUUAUCAAUCGUUACAGAGUCGACCCCUCACCUUUGAGUGCGCGUCCUAACUUAUAGUACAUGGUGUAAAUGGAUUUGUUUUGGGUACCCAGAAAGCAACGAACGUGACCGCAACGUCUUGUUGUCUCUCUUUGACAGUUAUGGGUUAUCCCAGUCAUGUGUUUAUACUUUUAUGUGUAAAUACGUACGACACAGAGACUAGAUACCAAACUAGGCGUACCGCUGUAUCAUUUCUUUAAACCAGAGGAAGGUUGCGGCAAUAACAG
rnacentral:rRNA from 1 species